rnacentral:lncRNA from 1 species
GGGGNAAUCAAUUUCUGGAGUAGUGCUUUAUGGAGUAGUUCAUGGUGGUGUUGAUUGGGUUUCAUUAAGUAUGGGAAAGUAAAAAUUUUAGACUGUGUAAAUGGUGCAGGUUUUAAUAAAGAAGUAGAAAAUAAAAGAAAAAAAAAUGGGAGAAGGUAGGCCGUGAGAGGAGGGGAGGUUUAUGUUUCUGGAUUUGAAAAGAAGAAGAGGAAUUUUGGUUUUUUUUAAGUGGAGGUGCCAAGGAGUUAGGUUUUAGAAAAUUUAAUAUUUGGAACGCUUUAAUGGAUUGGAUGUAGACAAAAAUGUAAUUAAGUUAAUAUAAUAU